rnacentral:misc_RNA from 1 species
GUCAAAGAAGCACGGUCUGCUGUGGCCAUGUUACACCAAAAAGAAAUCAAGGGAGGAAUUGUUUGGGCACGCCAGCUAGGUGGAGAGGGUUCCAGGACUCAGAAAUGGAAAAUUAUUGUCAGAAAUCUUCCAUUCAAGGCUAAAGCAAAUGAAUUAAGAGAUGCGUUUUCGUCAGCUGGUUUUGUCUGGGAUGUAUUUAUUCCUCAUAAUUCUUCAACAGGGCUAUCGAAGGGUUUUGCAUUCGUCAAAUUUACAUGUAAACAGGACACAGAAAAUGCCAUUAAAAGUUUCAAUGCGCAAAUGUAUGGCAAAAGGACCAUGGCUGUUGACUGGGCUGU